GACAGAGGUUGCAAGCGUUGUUCGGAAUUACUGGGCAUAAAGCGCACGUAGGCGGUCCGCUAAGUCAUGUGUGAAAUCCCCCGGCUCAACCGGGGAAUGGCGCCUGAUACCGGCGGACUCGAGAUCGGUAGGGGUGAGUGGAACUCCAGGUGGAGCGGUGAAAUGCGUAGAUAUCUGGAGGAACACCGAUGGCGAAGGCAGGUCUCUGGGCUGACACUGACGCUCAUGCACGAAAGCGUGGGGAGCAAACAGG
rnacentral:rRNA from 1 species